GAUGAACGCUGGCGGCGUGCCUAAUACAUGCAAGUCGAGCGAACAGACGAGGAGCUUGCUCCUCUGACGUUAGCGGCGGACGGGUGAGUAACACGUGGAUAACCUACCUAUAAGACUGGGAUAACUUCGGGAAACCGGAGCUAAUACCGGAUAAUAUAUUGAACCGCAUGGUUCAAUAGUGAAAGACGGUUUUGCUGUCACUUAUAGAUGGAUCCGCGCCGCAUUAGCUAGUUGGUAAGGUAACGGCCUACCAAGGCAACGAUGCGUAGCCGACCUGAGAGGGUGAUCGGCCACACUGGAACUGAGACACGGUCCAGACUCCUAAGGGAGGCAGCAGUAGGGAAUCUUCCGCAAGGGGCGAAAGCCUGACGGAGCAACGCCGCGUGAGUGAUGAAGGUCUUCGGAUCGUAAAACUCUGUUAUUAGGGAAGAACAAAUGUGUAAGUAACGAUGCACGUCUUGACGGUACCUAAUCAGAAAGCCACGGCUAACUACGUG
rnacentral:rRNA from 1 species